UUCACUGAGCAUGGAGUUUCUUUUCGUCUCACGCUGUGGGUUGCACUUCAGUGAUGGUAUACAGUGGGUAUACUGGUGCAGUUGUGAUAGUGCACGUGGCCACUUACUAAAUAGCUGCUCCACUUCGGUUGAUUCCACAUAUGAUGCAUUCACAAGCAUUGUUGGCUCUGAAUGUAUCCACAUCGAACCAACUAGACUGAUUAUCCAAGAGACUGACAAUAUUCACAACAUUACAUCAGCUCAAGAAUUAUCAGAUCAUUCGUAUACUUUGAAUAUCGAACCUCACAAGGAGGACACUUCCUACAGUAUAAAUGUUGGCACAGAGGUUGUAUGCUCUAUUGGGCAGGCGGUAUGUACAAGAGCUGAUAUAGUGGCCAUGGUGUUGUACAAGUUCGUAUUGAUGAUAAACAAUUAAGGGGUCUGUACUGUUGUACAUGCAAGUACAAUAAACAGCACAGUUCACAUGUGGACAUUGUCGAGAAAGCAUUGAAUAGCCCGGAUGAGGAUAAACAUGACUGCCUCAAUAAAAUUGCAAAAGAUCUGUCUAGUGUGCAGCAGAAUAGACAAGUGCAUGUGCAUCAGUAUCGGUCCCUUAAUUUCAUCAAGCAGUAUAUAUACCGUUCAAUUUAUCAAGUGAAUUGUCUCAACAACUGGCAUGUACUGUAGCUGAUCGCUUCAACAUUGUAAACAACACUUCUAUUUUGGGCUCAGUCGACACAUAUUGUAAAGUGUGCAGUACGCUUACACGAGAUGAAGAAGACAAGCAGGAAUCUGUAUGGAGCAAAAUUAUACUGCUCAAUACAGUUAUCAAUGCGAAUGUGCAUGUUAGGUAUUGCUCAGGAUGUAAGAAACGUAAAGAAUUUGAUGGCCAACUAGUAGGAUUAGUGACUAUGGGCAAGUUCCUGGUAUCCUAUGAAGUUAUGCGAGGUUUUAUGCAUCAAUUCCUUUUGGGAAGAACAACUAUAUAUACCCAGUAUUGUGUGUUGGUUAAAAACCAUGAAGAUGCAGGAUUCGGCAAUCAGUUUAAUAAGUAUAUGUUUACAUACAAUCACUAUCGGUUGUCGUGGUAUGCCUUUCUUGACCUGUUAGACAUUGAUUAUCAAGUAGGAUUUCAGUGCACUGCGUGUGGAGAUUGUCCACCCAUUGUUGUCAUGGAUGCUACUUGUUUAGAUUCAUGCAGAAAAGACCUUAUGCCCUGGAAGUCCCAACUCAACGGUUCUGGAGUUCAUAAAACCUCAUCCCCUAUCAGCUGUACUGGAAGAUAAGUGCAAAUUUUCCCAUGUCAUCAACCCCUGUAUAUAAUCCGACUAGAAAAACAUUUGCAAUGUGAAAAAUUGCUAGGAUUGGCCAGGGGAACCACAAAAAAGCGUGGGAACAAGAAAUCAGACGAGAGCAUAACUCCAAUCCGUUACAACGUCAAUCACAUGUAUACUGGUAGUUUUCCCAUGUUUUCCCAGCCAAUAUGCCACGCAAUUUUUACUGGUGGAGUGAUGACCAAUCCCUAUAUAUAUUUAUUAUACAUCCAUUUUAGAAUGUGGGGCACAUAAUCAUGAUGAUUUGUGAUAAAUUGAUGUUCCUAAUACAUGCAGUGUUGAGCACAGGUACACACAGUCCAUCCAUGCGUAGUAACAUGCACGGACCGUACUGGUGACUGCAUGGAAUGAUGUGGUGGAUGGAAGCUGAUAGGUGGAUCUGGAACACAGUCUAUUAUUUAAUAUACUAUGUAUUGUACAUGUUCAUGACGUUGUAACGGAUUGGAGUUAUGCUCUCGUCUGAUUUCUUGUUCCCACGCUUUUUUGUGGUUCCCCUGGCCAAUCCUAGCAAUUUUUCACAUUGCAAAUGUUUUUCUAGUCGGAUUCCCUUUCUUUUUCAGUACAGUUUACGUAUCAUGACAUGCAUAAGUGGAACGUCAAGAGGCAGUACAAGAAGAGAAGACAGGACUAAUCAGAUAUCUUCUCGAAUAUCUCUGGACUAAUAAUUAUAGUAUAAUGAGUAAUAAUUUAUUGCUUGAUAAUUAUGUUGAAUUUGCGAAUCAGUAUUAAAUGACAGCCAUUUUAAGAGCAUGAUAUCUAGCCAGUGCAUAUAGCAUGCCUGUCAGAGAAAGGGAGCUAGAGCUGAACAGUGUGAAGAAAAGGAACACCUCAGGCUCUGGAAAAGCAGAGAUACAAAAGAAAGGGGAUUGGAAACGAUCGCCCACGCCCUAUGUAAAAGGACUGACAUCCGGUGAAGCACUCCGUGUAAUUAUUGCGCUCGCAAAUAAUUACAUGGAGGACUGCGCUACGGUUUUGUAUCCCUGGUUUCUAGCUCUCCUAUCCACUAGAGAUCACUCAGGGCCUGGGAGAUACUUGAGAGAAGUAAGCUUAUACCACUGACAAGCUCUAAGUCCGUUGUCUUUACUCUGUUUCCAAUUUUUUUGAGUUUAGCUUGAAUUACUCUAUGUCAACUUUUCUCUGUCCCUCCUAUGAAGUCAAAACAGCAAAGGACAUUGCUUGACUUGGUUAUUAUGUAUCUAAGUGCUACAUAGAAUGGCUUCAUGCUAUAAAUAAGCUGUACUGUUCAUAAACGUUUGCAGUAUAGUCCUUCAAACUGCUUUAGUAUACUUUUAGACACACCACGGGCCUGUCCCUCCUACGACUUCAUAGUAAAGGCUAUUUCUUCUUGCAUAGCAUUUAUUUGUCUAGUAAUAGUGGCUGCGUGGCUUAGUCGACUUUUUAGAGCUAAAUUCUCUUUACUUUUUAGAAAAAUCAACAUUAAAAAUGAUCAAUUUCACUGUUUCUAUGUACAGCACAUUGUAGAGCAGUCAAGACAGGUAAUGAGCAUGCUGACUAUAAAUAUAAUCCUUUGUAGUUUUAGCCACGCCCUAUAACGCGGAAUGCUUCACGCAAAAAUUUCGUAAAAAUUUCGUUUCCAAUCCCCUUUCUUUUGUAUCUCUGGGAAAAGCACUGCUGCACUGAUUUUAGGCGCACGGUUUAUUAGCCACGCCUAUCUAUUAUUAUUGGCCACAACGCAAUUGCUGAGUCAUUAAAGAUGGCGGAAUUGUCUAGGUAAGAGAAAUAGAGACUGAGAGGUCAUCUGCCUUGUGGAAGCAAUCGCAAAUCUGAAGAAGCGCUUUGUAAUCCAGGUUGUAGUCGUUUGGAAACCCUGUGCAGAAUGUCCUGGAGAUGGCUGUACUUGGAGUAAAUGCUGGGCAAGAAACUUACUUACUUACUUACUUACUCACUUACUUACUUAGUCAGUCAGACAAAGAGCGGUGAAACGUCGAAAUAGUGCAAUUUUUAAAAUGAAAAUAUUCAUUCAUUAAAAUGUUUAUGGAUUAUGAAAUGAGAGAUACAAAGAGAGAAAAGGCUAAAUAAACUAUCUGUUCAGCCAGUUUCUUGAUGUGGCCUUUCCCUGCAGAGAUAGAACAGUUUGAACAUGAGUCAAAAUAAUUGAAAUAUUGCUAAACACAGGCAAACCCACUGCCAAUCCUAUGUAAAACCUACUGGUUUUACUAAUGAUUAUAUAUAUAAUGAUAGUCCUCCCUGAGCUAAGACAAAAUAAAUACCUUGCCAAGCAUGCAUGCACAGAUUUAUUCAAAACUUGAAUCCAUUUGUAGAAGGUGCCUCUCAUCAUAGUAAUCAUAUACAGUGUGGCGAAAGCUGUUUUACUUAUUCAGCAAUUAUUGUUGUGAUAAGUUUAGGAUCAUGCGGACAGCUGAAAAGUUACUGUAUUUAUUUUCUUUCAACACUAGUUUCCAUGAUGGGAUAUACAUCAACAACAAGACAACACACACGCAGCUGAAGAUGUUUACUACAAAGAAGUGUAUAAGCCAGCAUGAAUUCACUUCUCUUCUAGAAUUACUACAUUUGCACGCACCAAGUUUGGUCAAACUUAUCACCACAAUAGCUAAAGAAGUCAACGAGGCUGAUACAGCUGUCUCCUGUUGCAAGCACUGGAUUAAUUUACUGCAAGCUCUCAGUUCAGCAUCACCUGUGUGUGCUUUGGUACCACCUACAGAAGAAGUGCACAAAAUGCUAAAGGAAAUGGAGUCUUCUGGCUCCUUGAAGUCAAAUGCAAAAAAGAUGGCCUUUCUACAAAAGGAAGCUCCAGUACUGUUCACUUUAAUUGAAUGUCUUCCUUCUUACCCCACUGAAGCAUUGCAGCCUAUACUAAAAAGGCUUGUGGAAUUAUCAUUAGCCCCAUUUACGCAAGACUUCACAGAGUCUAGUACUGGUGACCACACUGACAUUAAUGAUGAUGAUAUGAUAUCGUACUUUCCAAAGCUUCCUUCACUAAGAAAACGAAAGAUUUAUAAGGCUGACAGUUUUAAAUCCUCUGUAUGUACAAAAAAAAGCUCAAGACAUCCAUCACUGCUACCGGGGAUAUUUACUCUGUAUUGUCAGCAUGGUAAUGCUGCAUGCAUGAUAAUUAUAAUUAUUACGCCUCUACCGUAUUACUAGAAUAUUUUGCAGGUGAAAAACCUUUGCGAAUGAGCCAAAUCAGCAGAAAAUUUGACCCUUUGCGAUCUAACUAUUGUGUUCUGGCAAGUAUUUACUAGUAAUAAUUUAGGUUUUGCGGAUUUUAUUGAUCAACCCUCGCAAAAUUCGCAAAUGUUUGAUGCUCGCAAAACAUUCUAGUAAUAAUUAUGGUACAUUAAUUUGCAUCAAUAUUGUAUAGGAAUUUGCUAUGGAUUCCAACUGAUGGAAGUUCAGGAAUUCCCAAACAUUCCUUUCACUAUCUUAUAUGAACGAUUCUCAUCAGCACCUGAAGUCAUCAUAUACGACAAUAGUUGCAACCUGCACCAAUACUGCUUGAAUAGAGAGCCCCCCUUUUUCAGGCACAGUCGGUUUCUAGGUCUAGUAGAUCGUUUCCAUUGGCCAAAUCAUUCAGGAUGCAGUGUUGCUUACAAAAUGAGCACCUAUAGACAAUAAUGAUGCCUUGAAUAGCCAGAUGGUAGAGCAAAGCAAUUCAUGCUUGAAGAGAAUCAAAUCGUCACUGUCGUAUAUGAAUAAAAGAAAUUUCCUCACACAUUGUGGAUUUUAUUUAUGGUAUCACAAUCAGAAAAAACUAUAAGUAUAAUGUACUCACAUGCAUGAUGGUCUUGUCAUGCACUUUUUGUUUUUACAACCAUGAAUUUAAAAUUGUGGCGUCACUUG